ensembl:lncRNA AMZ2P1 AMZ2 pseudogene 1
AGUGGGCGUGGCGUAGUGCGAAGAGACGCGGUGCGCACGCGCGUGAGGGAUGUCGCGGUCUCGUGGUGGAACAUCUGACCCUUUUCAAGAGGAAGGAUGAAAACUCUACAUAGGAACACGAUGUGAAUGGAAGAAACCUGUCAUUAUGCAAAUAGUACGGUAUUCCGAACAGACACUAAAAAUAGCUGUCAUCUCAAAGAAUCCAGUGCUUGUGUCACAGUAUGAGAAAGUAGAUGCUGGGGAACAGCGUUUAAUGAAUGAAGCAUUCCAGCCAGCCAGUGAUCUCUUUGGACCUUGCAUUCUCCAUCAGAUUGGAUCACCUCCCACCCUGAGGCCCCCCAAGACUUUGAACAGUUCUUCAGUCAUCCUUACAGAAAGAUACCCUCUCCAGACAAACGCAGUAUUUAUAUACGGUCCAUUGGAUCUCUAUGAAGCACCAGAAUUAUCAGUGAAGAAUAUAUUAAAUGGCUCACGGGCUACUGUAAAGCAUAUUUCUAUCGCUUGAGAGUAAAACUGCUAGAACCAGUUCCUGUUUCUACAACAAGGUGUUCCUUUAGAGUCAAUGAGAACACACAAAACCUACAAAUUCAUGCAGGGGACAUCCUGAAGUUCUUGAAAAAGAAGAAACCUGAAGAUGCCUUCUGUGUUGUGGGAAUAACAAUGAUUGAUCUUUACCCAAGAGACUUGUGGAAUUUUGUCUUUGGACAGGCCUCUUUGACAGAUGGCACUGGUGAGGUGGAUUGAUGAUGAAUCUUCUGGCACACCUGGAGCAACUCCAGAACACAGUCGUGAGGAUAAUGGGAAUUUACUGAAACCCGUGGAAGGAAGCCUUUAAGGAAUGGAAAGAGUGGAUAAUAAAAUGCCUGACUGUUCUCCAAAAAUAAGGACCUUCAAAUAGGAGUGAUUGAAAUAAAUGACUACUUGCAUGUUAUGCUUUCAUUUGGGUGGAAUACUUCAUCAGAAUAAACUAUUGAUCUUGUGCUGUGUCAAAGUAACAGACUAGAACCUUCUUUCAAGUACCUGAAUUGAAAUGAAACUCAUUUUGAAUAAUAAAAACUCUAGAAACUCUUUAUCUUCUCA